rnacentral:rRNA from 1 species
CCUACGGGAGGCAGCAGUGGGGAAUAUUGCACAAUGGGGGAAACCCUGAUGCAGCGACGCCGCGUGAGUGAAGAAGUAAUUCGUUAUGUACAGCUCUAUCAGCAGGGAAGAAAAUGACGGUACCUGAGUAAGAAGCCCCGGCUAACUACGUGCCAGCAGCCGCGGUAAUCCGUAGGGGGCAAGCGUUAUCCGGAUUUACUGGGUGGAAAGGGAGCGUAGACGGCAGUGCAAGGCUGGAGUGAAAGGCGGGGGCUAAACCCCCGGACUGCUCUGGAGACUGUACGGAUGGAGUGCAGGAGAGGUAAGUGGAAUUCCUAGUGUAGCGGUGAAAUGCGUAGAUAUUAGGAGGAACACCAGUGGCGAAGGCGGCUUACUGGACUGUAACUGACGUUGAGGCUCGAAAGCGUGGGGAGCAAACAGGAUUAGAUACCCCAGUAGUC